rnacentral:rRNA from 1 species
GACGAACGCUGGCGGCGUGCUUAACACAUGCAAGUCGAACGGAAAGGCCCUGCUUUUGUGGGGUGCUCGAGUGGCGAACGGGUGAGUAACACGUGAGUAACCUGCCCUUGACUUUGGGAUAACUUCAGGAAACUGGGGCUAAUACCGGAUAGGAGCUCCUGCUGCAUGGUGGGGGUUGGAAAGUUUCGGCGGUUGGGGAUGGACUCGCGGCUUAUCAGCUUGUUGGUGGGGUAGUGGCUUACCAAGGCUUUGACGGGUAGCCGGCCUGAGAGGGUGACCGGCCCCAUUGGGACUGCGGUACGGCCCAGACUCCUACGGGGGACAGCGGUGGGGAAUAUUGCACAAUGGGCGGAAGCCUGAUGCAGCAGCGCCGCGUGCGGGAUGACGGCCUUCGGGUUGUAAACCGCUUUCGCCUGUGACGAAGCGUGAGUGACGGUAAUGGGUAAAGAAGCACCGGCUAACUACGUG